UGAGGGAAAUGUGGCGGAUGGCAAGAAUAGAUAACAUUUCACAAUUCUAGUUGUACAAUGAUCAAGUUGCUUGAGAUGACUGUUCUUGUUGUGGCUCUAGUACCAGCUGAAGAGGAAUUUUGUUUUAUAUUUGAAAACUGUGAAGUAUCAGUACAGACCAUUAAGUUCAGAAAUGCGGGUCUAAUUUGUUCAACACAGUGUUCGAGGGAAACAUAAUAGAUGGCAAGGAUAAAUAACAUUUCACAAAGAAAUAUAUGAGGUGGGGCUUGCUGCUGUAUGCCAUCGCCAAACAAAGAAGUUCAGAUUGUUUUUCACAUACGUUCCUCGUGUAUAGCCUAGAAGGGAUUGUCAUAGGAAAAGGUGGAGCCACAGGAAAACAAAGAAGGAAAGCUACAUGUGUGUACCAAGAAUUCCAGACAUGCAUGGUUGUAGAUCUUUGUAGGAUAUUGGAAGUUGCCUAGCAGAUUGAAUGUAUAGUGGUACAGAAUAGAUUACUUCUCCAUUGCAUUGAAAUACAGUAAAACCUGUCUUAAGCAGCCAGCCCAGAGAGUGGAAAAAGUGGAUGUUUACAGCAGGUGGCUGCUUAAUGCAGGUAAGAAUGAUGAAGAUGGCCUUAAAAAGACAAGAUACAGAAUGGUACAGGUUCUCAAAGAAAGGAAGGUCUGUCAUGGUAACAUCAGAGUUGGACAUCUUCUAAAAACAGAUUGAAAGAUGGAAGAACCAUUGCUGGGGACAGUGGAUGACAUUGACUUAAUUUUUAAAAGCAUGAGACCUGGUCAUGAGUACUGGUUGAGGGUCUAAGCCAAGACACCAUCCAGUAUAGCUGUCACCUCCAGUGUCACUGUACAUUGUGCACAAAACUUGCCAAGACCAGGGAACAAGUGGACUGAGUAGAAGUUGUUAUGUAUAAAGCAAACACAAGGAGUAUAAAGGCACCAUCAGAAUAUUUUGCGAUACAAGGUUGAUAAGGAACCUUUGACGUAUCAGGAACCACUGCUGCUGGGAUUUUUAACAUUUAUUACUGGAAGGCUCAGUACCCAUGCCAUGUGACCUUGGUACCUUUCUUCCCAGCACAGGAACCAGUCAUACUGACUCAGCUGUACAGCAGAAAAAAUACUGUAGCCAGUCUGGGUUGUCCGUUGUAGAAAGAGAUUUUACUGAAGGUUUGGACUUUAGGCUGGAAAAUGUCUCCCCUUACAUUGACUCAGUGUUGUUUUAUUUUCUGGUCCUUUAGGAUGAUGGAAAACAUUCAAUUUUGUGAUAAUAAAAUUCUGCUUAAGUUGGUACUGUAUCAGGGUUGUUGCACAUUCCAUUACCUAUCAUGAACAGCACAUACACAUUAUGUCUGUCAAGCACAUAUUAGAACAAGUGGUCAGUCAAUAUGCAAGA
rnacentral:lncRNA from 1 species